AUCCAGCUUACCGGUCCCAGAUAGGACGAAACGCGCGUCAAACUGGAU
rfam:Schistosoma mansoni strain Puerto Rico chromosome W, complete genome